GCCCCUAUAGCUCAGUGGUAGAGCGCAUCACUCGUAUCGCAUCUGCGACAUGAUGAGGUCCAUCGUUCAAUCCGGUGUGGGGGCA